GACGAACGCUGGCGGCGUGCUUAACACAUGCAAGUCGAACGCGCCUGUCCUCUGGGUUUCUGGGGGGUGGGUGAGUGGCGAACGGGUGAGUAACACGUGAGUAACCUGCCCCCUUCUUCGGGAUAACGGUCUGAAAGGGCUGAUAAUACCGGGUAUUUACUGGUCUCCGCAUGGGGUCUGGUGGAAAGGUUUUUUUCUGGUGGGGGAUGGGCUCGCGGCCUAUUAGCUUGUUGGUGGGGUGAUGGCCCACCAAGGCUUUGACGGGUAGCCGGCCUGAGAGGGUGACCUGUCACAGUGAGACGGAGAUGCGGCCCAGACUCCUACGGGAGGCAGCAGUGGGGAAUAUUGCACAAUGGGCGCAAGCCUGAUGCAGCGACGCCGCGUGAGGGAUGGAGGCCUUCGGGUUGUGAACCUCUUGCGCCCGUGAUCAAGCCGCGACGUGGGUCGUGGUGAGGGUAGUGGGUAAAGAAGCGCCGGCUAACUACGUG
rnacentral:rRNA from 1 species